AACUAAUGAUGUUUGAUAUAAGAGUAGUGGACAGAUGUGAUUUCUGAAACUAUUAAACUGAGGUU